rnacentral:rRNA from 1 species
UUAACACAUGCAAGUCGAGGGGCAGCAUGGUCUUAUCUUGCUAAGGCCGAUGGCGACCGGCGCACGGGUGAGUAACACGUAUCCAACCUGCCGUCUACUCUUGGACAGCCUUCUGAAAGGAAGAUUAAUACAAGAUGGCAUCAUGAGUCCGCAUGUUCACAUGAUUAAAGGUAUUCCGGUAGACGAUGGGGAUGCGUUCCAUUACAUAGUAGGCGGGGUAACGGCCCACCUAGUCUUCCAUGGAUAGGGGUUCUGAGAGGAAGGUCCCCCACAUUGGAACUGAUACACGGUCCAAACUCCUACGGGAGGCAGCAGUGAGGAAUAUUGGUCAAUGGGCGAGAGCCUGAACCAGCCAAGUAGCGUGAAGGAUGACUGCCCUAUGGGUUGUAAACUUCUUUUAUAAAGGAAUAAAGUCGGGUAUGGAUACCCGUUUGCAUGUACUUUAUGAAUAAGGAUCGGCUAACUCCGUGCCAGCAGCCGCGGUAAUACGGAGGAUCCGAGCGUUAUCCGGAUUUAUUGAGUUUAAAGGGAGCGUAGAUGGAUGUUUAAGUCAGUUGUGAAAGUUUGCGGCUCAGCCGUAAAAUUGCAGUUGAUACUGGAUAUCUUGAGUGCAGUUGAGGCAAGCGGAAUUCGUGGUGUAGCGGUGAAAUGCUUAGAUAUCACGAAGAACUCCGAUUGCGAAGGCAGCCUGCUAAGCUGCAACUGACAUUGAGGCUCGAAAGUGUGGGUAUCAAACAGGAUUAGAUACCCUGGUAGUCCACACGGUAAACGAUGAAUACUCGCUGUUUGCUAUAUACUGCAAGCGACCAAGCGAAAGCGUUAAGUAUUCCACCUGGGGAGUACGCCGGCAACGGUGAAACUCAAAGGAAUUGACGGGGGCCCGCACAAGCGGAGGAACAUGUGGUUUAAUUCGAUGAUACGCGAGGAACCUUAUCCGGGCUUAAAUUGCAGAUGAAUUACGGUGAAAGCCGUAAGCCGCAAGGCAUCUGUGAAGGUGCUGCAUGGUUGUCGUCAGCUCGUGCCGUGAGGUGUCGGCUUAAGUGCCAUAACGAGCGCAACCCUUGUUGUCAGUUACUAACAGGUUCCGCUGAGGACUCUGACAAGACUGCCAUCGUAAGAUGUGAGGAAGGUGGGGAUGACGUCAAAUCAGCACGGCCCUUACGUCCGGGGCUACACACGUGUUACAAUGGGGGGUACAGAGGGCCGCUUCCACGGGAGUGGAUGCCAAUCCCCAAAACCUCUGUCAGUUCGGACUGGAGUCUGCAACCCGAAUCCGGGAAGCUGGAUUCGCUAGUAAUCGAGCAUCAGCCACGGCGCGGUGAAUACGUUCCCGGGCCUUGUACACCCCGCCCGUCAAGCCAUGGGAGCCGGGGGUACCUGAAGUGAGUAACCGCGAGGAGCGCCCUAGGGUAAAACUGGUGACUGGGGCUAAGU